AUUGAACGCUGGCGGCAGGCCUAACACAUGCAAGUCGAGCGGAUGAAGGGAGCUUGCUCCUGGAUUCAGCGGCGGACGGGUGAGUAAUGCCUAGGAAUCUGCCUGGUAGUGGGGGAUAACGUCCGGAAACGGGCGCUAAUACCGCAUACGUCCUGCGGGAGAAAGUGGGGGAUCUUCGGACCUCACGCUAUCAGAUGAGCCUAGGUCGGAUUAGCUAGUUGGUGGGGUAAAGGCCUACCAAGGCGACGAUCCGUAACUGGUCUGAGAGGAUGAUCAGUCACACUGGAACUGAGACACGGUCCAGACUCCUGAGGGAGGCAGCAGUGGGGAAUAUUGGACAAUGGGCGAAAGCCUGAUCCAGCCAUGCCGCGUGUGUGAAGAAGGUCUUCGGAUUGUAAAGCACUUUAAGUUGGGAGGAAGGGCAGUAAGUUAAUACCUUGCUGUUUUGACGUUACCAACAGAAUAAGCACCGGCUAACUUCGUG
rnacentral:rRNA from 1 species